GGAUCAAGCGUCUUAAGGGCAUCUGGUGGAUGCCUUGGCACUGAGAGGCGAUGAAGGACGUGGCACGCUGCGAUAAGCCAUGGGGAGCCGCGAGCAGGCUUUGAUCCGUGGAUUUCCGAAUGGGGAAACCCCACCGUAAGGUGAUCCCAGACUGAAUACAUAGGUUUGGGAGGCGAACCCGGGGAACUGAAACAUCUAAGUACCCGGAGGAAAGGACAUCAACCGAGACUCCGCUAGUAGUGGCGAGCGAACGCGGACCAGGCCAGUGGUUGAUCUUACAUAACCGGAACCGUCUGGAAAGUCGGGCCAAAGCGGGUGACAGCCCCGUACGGGUAAACCGAGAUCAAUCCUUGAGUAGGGCGGGACACGUGAAAUCCUGUCUGAACAUGGGGGGACCACCCUCCAAGCCUAAGUACUCCUCAGUGACCGAUAGUGAACCAGUACCGUGAGGGAAAGGUGAAAAGCACCCCGACGAGGGGAGUGAAAGAGCACCUGAAACCGGAUGCCUACAAACAGUCGGAGCCUCCUUGCGGGGUGACGGCGUACCUUUUGUAUAAUGGGUCAGCGACUUACAGUCGGCAGCGAGCUUAAGGCGAUAGCUGGAGGCGUAGCGAAAGCGAGUCUGAAUAGGGCGCUUUAGUUGCCGGUUGUAGACCCGAAACCUGAUGAUCUAGCCAUGGCCAGGUUGAAGGUGCAGUAACAUGCACUGGAGGACCGAACUCACGCCUGUUGAAAAAGUCGGAGAUGAGCUGUGGCUAGGGGUGAAAGGCCAAUCAAAUCAGGAAAUAGCUGGUUCUCCGCGAAAGCUAUUUAGGUAGCGCGUCGGAUGGUUACCGCCGGGGGUAGAGCACUGGAUGGGCUAGGGGGG
rnacentral:rRNA from 1 species